rnacentral:tRNA from 1 species
AGGGAAAUAGCUCAGUGGCAGAGCCCACGCUUACUGUGCCUGAGGUCCUGGGUUCAACCCCUGGUACCUCCA